rnacentral:rRNA from 1 species
ACGUAGGGGGCAAGCGUUAUCCGGAAUUACUGGGCGUAAAGGGUGCGUAGGCGGUUUAUUAAGUGAGGGGUGAAAGGCAAUAGCUUAACUGUUGUAAGCCUUGCGAACUGGAGGACUUGAGUGCAGGAGAGGAAAGUGGAAUUCCUAGUGUAGCGGUGAAAUGCGUAGAUAUUAGGAGGAACACCAGUGGCGAAGGCGACUUUCUGGACUAUAACUGACACUGAGGCACGAAAGCGUGGGGAGCAAACAG